GACGAACGCUGGCGGCGUGUUUAACACAUGCAAGUCGAACGGAAAGGCCCUGCUUUUGUGGGGUGCUCGAGUGGCGAACGGGUGAGUAACACGUGAGUAACCUGCCCUUGACUUUGGGAUAACUUCAGGAAACUGGGGCUAAUACCGGAUAGGAGCUCCUGCUGCAUGGUGGGGGUUGGAAAGUUUCGGCGGUUGGGGAUGGACUCGCGGCUUAUCAGCUUGUUGGUGGGGUAGUGGCUUACCAAGGCUUUGACGGGUAGCCGGCCUGAGAGGGUGACCGGCCACAUUGGGACUGAGAUACGGCCCAGACUCCUACGGGAGGCAGCAGUGGGGAAUAUUGCACAAUGGGCGGAAGCCUGAUGCAGCAACGCCGCGUGCGGGAUGACGGCCUUCGGGUUGUAAACCGCUUUCGCCUGUGACGAAGCGUGAGUGACGGUAAUGGUAAAGAAGCACCGGCUAACUACGUG
rnacentral:rRNA from 1 species